ACGGGAGGCAGCAGUGGGGAAUAUUGGGCAAUGGGCGAAAGCCUGACCCAGCAACGCCGCGUGAGUGAAGAAGGCCUUCGGGUUGUAAAACUCUUUUACCAGGGACGAAGGAAGUGACGGUACCUGGAGAAAAAGCAACGGCUAACUACGUGCCAGCAGCCGCUGUAAUACGUAGGUUGCAAGCGUUGUCCGGAAUUACUGGGUGUAAAGGGCGUGUAGGCGGAGCUGCAAGUCAGAUGUGAAAUCCCGGGGCUCAACCCCGGAACUGCAUUUGAAACUGUAGCCCUUGAGUAUCGGAGAGGCAAGCGGAAUUCCUAGUGUAGCGGUGAAAUGCGUAGAUAUUAGGAGGAACACCAGUGGCGAAGGCGGCUUACUGGACGGUAACUGACGCUGAGGCUCGAAAGCGUGGGGAGCAAACAGGAUUAGAUACCCUGGUA
rnacentral:rRNA from 1 species